GCAACUUGGGCUGGUGGGAGGUGUCCCUGCCCAUGGCAGGGGGUCGGAACUAGAUGGUCUUUAAGGUCUCUUCCAACCCAAACCAUUCUGUGAUACGGAUUCUGUGCAGGGGAGGGAAAGGCUACUGUCAGAGGCCCAGGCGACUUCAGGAGGAAAGGGUCACCUGCCCCAUCACCCACUCCAGCCCCUGCACAGCCCUCAUUUGAUGGGAGAAAUGGGGCUGACACGUCCCCUCUUACCCUUCUGAAACAAGCACUUACCCAGCUCACACCAGCCGCUAAAUACACACACACACACUAAACCAGCACUUUCUUCUGCAAAAAGGCACCAGCAGCUAAAUAACAGGGAAAAUUCAAAACACCACCGUCUGAACUGUUUGCUGCCACUUCUCUUUCAUUUUCGCACCUAAGGUUAGGUGCUGCAAAUACACACCCAGCGCCUUACUCUGCCUCACCAGCCAAGGCAAACAGAAGGUCAUAGACUCCAUCUGAGGGACACCAACCUACACCACAUGAGCUCCAGGAGAUCUGAUUUUUGCCUUGGUGAACACAAGCAACUUUGCUGAAGGCCAGCCCUGCGUUAGAGCGACACGCUCAGCCUGCACACAUAUACUCCUGGUGGAGAAGCCAGCUCAUCCUUUAUUUCCCAAGAUUCUUCUGGGCCUGAUCGUGAACUGCGGUACAUGCCUUGAGUUGGAAUCCCAGCUGCCUUCCACGACAGCUGCCACGAAUUGCACAAGCCCAGCUUCACUGCAGGAUUUGAGAAUAAGAAGGAAUAAAACUGCCAGAUGGCGAAGGGUCUACAGCUCCUGCAGAGAUUUCUGGAGACAGGAUCUGAGUAUCACCCCUUAUCCCUCUAGCAGAAGGCCUCUCAUGAAACUAUGCCCUCCAGCAGCACCUGCAGCAUCUUUGCAUGCCACCUGCACUUGGUUUAUACCAAUGCUGGGAAGCCCUACAAUGGCACUAGAGCUUUGCAGAAUACAGAUAUAUUUUUAAACAUUUGCUUCAUGGUUUAGGACAGAGACUUACUUCCAAGCAUGCUUCCAGUUUCUGCACAGCAAACAAAUUUCUCUCCUGUAAGUUCUCCAAGUUUCCAGGAAAAUGCUCGUUCAUUGCCCUAGUAAUACCAUUCACCUCUUUGUAACACAUUUUAAUUAAAUUUUUUCCAACAAGCCUCUUUUAGCUCAGACCCACUGAAGGGCUUCUUAACAUAGUUGUGACGCCAAGUGUUGGAAAAAAUCCAGGGCUUUAUUUAACUGGACAUCUUGCUGCUCUGUUUCAGUUAACUAGAAAUGGCAAUGGCAUGGUUUGUCGCUGGUUCAGGUUACAGCAAGAAUUCUCGCCGUGAGAAAAUCAUUGGAAAUUCCAGGUAAGCCUGCAGGCUGAUAAGAGCAGCAAUGUGGUUUCCCUGACUCUGGCCUGGGUUUGGUGCCAGAACAGCUGGCUCCAGUUUUCUGCUCCCUCAGGUCGUUCUGCAUGACGCCCGAACGCCCCGCAGGUUCCAGGCGGUGAAAGCAUCACAAAUUUCAUCUCCCUUGGCAUCUGCGGCUGAGCUACCCCAGACUGCCGCUCCAGAUUGCAGCCUGAGCGUGCCCCGAAGGAAGAGACAAUCUUGUGGCUCUGCAACAGAGCCAUCUGAAAGCUCCAAGACUCAUUUUUGCACGGAAGGAAAUUAACAGCUUCUAUAUAGGAAAGAAUCUGAGCUCACACGUCCAGCCAGAUCCAGGCAGGUUCCUUCCAUGAACCCCUCUCACCAUUCCCGUGUUGUCCAAGGUCCUACCAUGGGGCUAAUCCAGGACCCACCGCAGAGUGGAGUAUGUUGAAUAGAAGGAAGAUUCUGCAGCUGAACUGAUGAAAAUCAGGGAGAAAUGGACUACAGUUUUUUUAAGCUCAGUAAGAUUUUCUGCUAUAUUUAACAGACCUAGACUCUCCAGAAGAAAGCAGGUGUAUUAGCUGUCAGCUGGCUCGGUGAACACAGCCCAAGUGUUUCCUGGUUGGUUCCAGACAUUUUAUUUUGUUCUUACCUCUGAGUACAGUGGAUUUCCUCUGGACCUCUUCAUGUGAGAAAGUAGCUUGUUUUGCAUUUAACCAACGUUUACAGGCACAACGGAACUUCAAAAUGAAAAAUAGUCUAAAAUUUUCAUCUUAAGAAAGAUCAGAAAGUUCUCCUUUUUUUAACGCAGUAAUUCCCAGGUGCAGCUGGUAACAGAGAGACUGUGGGGUUGGAAGGCCCUAGCCUUCCACUGUGCAUUUGACUGAAGCAUGACAUCAUGUCCCCUUUCCAGACUGACUUUUUUCCCUUUCCCUUGUUACCAUAAAGAAUUGUCACAAGAAAAAUCACUGCAGCUCUCGGGUCCAUUUCCCUGUCUUUCUGCAAGGCUGUGGAAAAACCUGAUGGAUCCUGGACCACAGCCAUGGCAUGCAGCGAAUGAUACCUGCGUGGCUAAAAGUACCCCAUGUACAGGCAAGGGAGGGAGAGCAGAACUGCUCCACAGUUCAGCCACUGGCCAGGACUACACUGACCAAGACUACAAAGCCAGACAAAUUCAAACAAGUUCAGAACACUCCUUCCAGCAACUUUGCUUAGCAUUUCUAGCUGAUGUCCACCGCUCUGGGGGCUGUGCCUACCUAUUUCAAAGUCCAGAAGUAGAUUUCAUUGAGUUAUUUAUAUUUCAUUCAUUUGAUGCAAUAAAUUUGCACGUUA